CGGGACGUGGCGCAGCUCGGUAGCGCACUAGUCUGGGGGACUAGGGGUCGCUGGUUCGAAUCCAGUCGUCCCGACCA
rnacentral:tRNA from 1 species